rnacentral:rRNA from 1 species
UACGGGGGGGGCAAGCGUUGUUCGGAAUUACUGGGCGUAAAGGGUUCGUAGGUGGCCAACUAAGUCAGACGUGAAAUCCCUCAGCUUAACUGGGGAACUGCGUCUGAUACUGAUUGGCUUGAGUGCAGGAGAGGAACGCGGAAUUCCAGGUGUAGCGGUGAAAUGCGUAGAUAUCUGGAGGAACACCGGUGGCGAAGGCGGCCACCUGGACGGUAACUGACGCUGAGACGCGAAAGCGUGGGGAGCAAACAGG